AUGAGCGAGCCCGAGCGCGCCCAUGUGAUCCGCGGCCGCCGCUGCAGCUCCGUGCUGGACGAUGACGAUCUCCUCUGGGAGAUCCUUCUCCGCCUUUCGCCGCAGCCGUCCUCCCUCCCACGUGCCUCCGCAGUCUGCAAGCAGUGGCGGCGCCUCACAACGGAUCCAGUGUUCCUCCGCCGGUUCUGCGAGCAUCACCGGGAGCCGCCCCUCCUUGGCGUCUUCGGGUGCGACAAAGAAAACAUCGUGUUCGCUCCUUCCCUGGGCCCUCCUGACCGUAUCCCUUCCGUGCACUUUGACCUUGGACCACGGCGUAGCGUGCUCGGGUGCCACCACGGUCGCGUCCUCAUUGGGGACUAUAUACGGAAACAAGUCAUUGUGUGUGACCCCAUCACUGGCGAGCAAUGUCGUGUGGCCGUCCCUUUGGAGUUCCGGAGGGACCACUUCUGCGGGGCAGUGCUCUGCGCCGCUAGCGAUCAAGGCCACGUGCACGGCGCAUGCCAUUCAAGCCCCUUUAAGGUGAUAUUGGUUUCCACGUGGUGUUACGAUGAUGGACGAACCCGUGCAUGUGUUUACUCCUCGGAGACCGGUGCAUGGGGCAAUAUCAUCUCAACGGCAUUUCCACGUUUCAUUUGGGAUGCUGGUUGGUCUGGGUUGCUUGUUGGUAAUGCACUUUACUGGUUGUGCGGAAAUGCAGAUUGCAUACUUGAGUUUGAUUUGAAAAAGCUGAGUCUUGCUAUCAUCACCGCUCCACCCAUUCCAAUGGAAUCCUGGUCUUGUCACAUCAUCCAGGCUGAGGAUGACGCUAUUGGCUUUGCUGCAUUGUCCUACCCACGCUUCCAAAUGUGGCAGAGGAACUCCAAUGGUCAUGAUGUUCCCACAUGGGUGUUGUGGAAAAACAUUGAAAUACAUAACAUUCUUGAGCUACCUCAUCAUAUUGAUAGAAGGUCAACAGGUAUAUAUGGAUACUCUCAGGAUACUGAUGAAAUAUUUAUACUUGUGGAACCCAACAAUGUAUACUUGGUUCAACUUAGGUCGAUGCAAUCAAAGAGACUUCAUGGAAUAGAUUGUAUCAUGAAAUACCAUGCUUUCACGAGUUUCUGUACACCAGGUAAUUUCUCAUCCAUAGUCCUUAUAUUGUCGGAGUAA
rnacentral:rRNA from 1 species